GUCGAGCGAUGACGAGGAGCUUGCUCCUCUGAUUUAGCGGCGGACGGGUGACUAACACUUGGGUAACCUGCCUGUAAGACGGGGAUAACUUCGCCUAAACCGAAGCUAAUACCGGAUAAUAAAGAGAGACUCCUGUUUCUUUUUUGAAAGUCGGUUUCGGCUGACGCUUACAGAUGGGCCCGCGGCGCAUUAGCUAGUUGGUGAGGUAAUGGCUCACCAAGGCCACGAUGCGUAGCCGACCUGAGAGGGUGAUCGGCCACACUGGGACUGAGACACGGCCCAGACUCCUACGGGAGGCAGCAGUAGGGAAUCUUCGGCAAUGGACGAAAGUCUGACCGAGCAACGCCGCGUGAGCGAUGAAGGCCUUCGGGUCGUAAAGCUCUGUUGUCAGAGAAGAACAAGUACCGGAGUAACUGCCGGUACCUUGACGGUACCUGACCAGAAAGCCACGGCUAACUACGUGCCAGCAGCCGCGGUAAUACGUAGGUGGCAAGCGUUAUCCGGAAUUAUUGGGCGUAAAGCGCGCGCAGGCGGUUCCUUAAGUCUGAUGUGAAAGCCCACGGCUCAACCGUGGAGGGUCAUUGGAAACUGGGGAACUUGAGUGCAGGAGAGAAAAGUGGAAUUCCCACGUGUAGCGGUGAAAUGCGUAGAGAUGUGGAGGAACACCAGUGUCGAAGGCGGCUUUUUGGCCUGUAACUGACGCUGAGCGCGAAAGCGUGGGGAGCAAACA
rnacentral:rRNA from 1 species